GCUGUUGUGGCUCAGAUGGUAGAGCAAUUGAUUCGUAAUCAAUAGGUCGCGGGUUCAAGUCCCGCCAACAGCUCCA
rnacentral:tRNA from 1 species